GAGAGAAUUACUUCCUCUCUCACUCAGCUGCAUUGUCACUGAGUGUGGUUCAUUUCUUCGCUUUAACGGUUGUAGUUAUUUAUACUAAAGUAUAUGAAGUUAUUUAAACAGUUUACUUAAUAGAGAUUUACCCAGCAGCCUGUGUUAUACAGAAUUACAGACCACUGGGUUAAAUUCCAUUUUAAGGGCCUGAAACAUGAUCUUCCAUGCUAGCUGUCUUGGCAGGCAGUGGGAAGCUGAGCAACCUUUUUGGAGAAAACCGUGGGGCAGUACUUGCUCACUAGCCAGAGCAAUAUCACCUGAUGGAUCUGAGGGCUGCAAGGAGCUCUCCAGAGAAAAAACAACUGCUACAACUCAGACUGCUACUGAAGUAACACAAAUUUGCCUGGCAAGCAUGAACAGAAAAAAGGGACAUUAUUACCAAGGGAGGCGAGCAUGUCGUGCAGGUCCUCUUUGUCAAUGAAGCCAUCCCUGUUCUGGUCGAUCAUGUUGAAGGCCUCCUUGA